rnacentral:rRNA from 1 species
GCAUCGAUGAAGAACGCAGCGAAAUGCGAUAAGUAGUGUGAAUUGCAGAAUUCAGUGAAUCAUCGAAUCUUUGAACGCACAUUGCGCCCCUUGGUAUUCCAUGGGGCAUGCCUGUUCGAGCGUCAUUUGUACCUUCAAGCUCUGCUUGGUGUUGGGUGUUUGUCUCGCCUUUUGCGUGUAGACUCGCCUCAAAACGAUUGGCAGCCGGCGUAUUGAUUUCGGAGCGCAGUACAUCUCGCGCUUUGCACUCACAACGACGACGUCCAAAAAGUACAUUUUUUACACUCUUGACCUCGGAUCAGGUAGGGAUACCCGCUGAACUUAAGCAUAUCAAUAAGCGGAGGAA